rnacentral:rRNA from 1 species
AUGGUACAAUAUCCGAGCUUGUACAGGAUUGUUAGACAUAAAUUCGUCACAAUCAAACAAGUUUUAGGACAAGAAAACCCUGAUAUUUCUUUUCGCAGGGACCUUUUUGGCCCUCGCCUGGCAGUAUGGAAUGAAUUACUCACUCUCCUGGAGAACAUUCAACUGGCAGGUGAGUCGGACAUUUUUCGAUGGAACUUGCAUCAGAAUGGCAAAUUUUCAGUCAAAUUCAUGUAUGAUGCACUGGUUCAUUAUGAUGUUCCAGUUGAUAACAGAAAAUUGUGGAAGCUCAAAAUCCCUCUAAGAGUGAAGAUUUUUCUCUGUUUUCUUAAUAGAGGAGUCAUCCUAACUAGAGACAAUCUGAGACGACGAAACUGGUAUGGUUCUAAGACAUGUGUCUUUUGCCAACAUGACGAGUCUAUUAAACACUUAUUUUUUGAGUGCAAGUUCGCUCGGGCAGUUUGGGCCAUAGUUCAAGUAGUUUCGAAUCUAUACCCACCACGUAGUGCACGGAACAUGUUCGGCAACUGGUUGCGGGGUAUUGAUAAACAAUUUUCUGCACAUAUUCUUGUGGGAGCGGCGGCCUUAUGCUGGGCACUAUGGCUUACCAGGAAUGAUGUGAUUUUUAAUAACAAAUGUGUCUCAUCUCCUAUGCAGGUUAUUCAUGUGUGUACACGAUGGCUCCGUACUUGGUCUAUCCUACAGAGACCGGAGGAUAGGGACCUUUUUAUGAUGACGUCUACACGGCUGGAGCGUACGGCCAGGGAGGUUUUCUACCCCCAUGGAUGA